rnacentral:rRNA from 1 species
GACGAACGCUGGCGGCGUGCUUAACACAUGCAAGUCGAACGGAAAGGCCCCCAUCUUGGUGGGGGUGCUCGAGUGGCGAACGGGUGAGUAACACGUGGGUGAUCUGCCCUGUACUUCGGGAUAAGCUUGGGAAACUGGGUCUAAUACCGGAUAGGACCAUGGUUUAGUGUCUCAUGGUGGAAAGAUUAUUGUUUUGGUGCAGGAUGAGCUCGCGGCCUAUCAGCUUGUUGGUGGGGUAAUGGCCUACCAAGGCGUCGACGGGUAGCCGGCCUGAGAGGGUGGACGGCCACAUUGGGACUGAGAUACGGCCCAGACUCGUACGGGAGGCAGCAGUGGGGAAUAUUGCACAAUGGGCGCAAGCCUGAUGCAGCGACGCCGCGUGGGGGAUGACGGCCUUCGGGUUGUAAACUCCUUUCGUUAGGGACGAAGCCGCACUUUUUUUGGGUGUGGUGACGGUACCUUUGUUAAGAAGCACCGGCUAACUACGUG